rnacentral:rRNA from 1 species
AACCUGGUUGAUCCUGCCAGUAGUCAUAUGCUUGUUUCAAGGACUAAGCCAUGCAAGUCUCAGAGUAAAUGGAUCACAGUAGGUCUGCAGACAGCUCAUUAAAUCAGCUUCAAUGUACGCGGAGACACUGGCUUCGGCCAGACUAUUGGAUAACUUUGGUAACCCCAAAGCUAAUACAUGUCAGUAAAACCCGCACAGAUUUCACCUCGGGCUUUCGGGCCUGGGGCUGUGUUGGGUGCAGUUGACCGCAACAAAAACCAACGCUAGCAAUUAGCAGCGGUGAUUGGAUGAUUCAGGUUAACCGAGUAGUAGCGCAUACUUCGGUGGCGCUUGUCCGCAUCAGAAUCUGCCCUAUCAGCUGUGAUGGUAGCGUAGUGGACUACCAUGGCCGUAACGGGUAACGGGGAAUUAGGGUUCGAUUCCGGAGAGGGAGCCUGAGAAACGGCUACCACAACUAAGGUUGGCAGCAGGCGCGCAAAUUGCCCAAUAGCAACACAUCGCUGAGGCAGCGAAGAGAAAUAGCAACUUCAUGUGGCCCUGCCAUGUGAAGAUUGCCAUGGACGAUAUCUAAACCUGUCGAUGAGUAUCAAUUGGUGGACAAGUCUGGUGCCAGCACCCGCGGUAAUUCCAGCACCAAUAGC